rnacentral:lncRNA from 1 species
AGACAGCAGACAUGAACUUAGAGACACUGAGAGGACAUGGAUCAUCCAACACUGAUGCUGCUGGUGACUCUCUGCAGUUCAGGUACGACUCUGUUCUGCUCUUUAUCAAUCAAUUGAGAACCAAUCCAAACUUUAUUGGCCAGCAGCUGCACUGGGAGACUGGAGAGGAAGGUUCUGGAAGAAUGGAAAAAAGAGGUUGAAGACAAGUUUAAUAUGAGCUGGACCUUGGAGCGUGUGGAUGAUGUUUGCAAAUCCCUCGACUGUGGAUCUGUGGUGUCUAUGAGGAGAAUUGAAGGAACAUCUGAUUCUUAUAGAAUUAAUUUGGAGAUCAUCUGUUCAGGUCAGUGUCAUCA